CCAGGCAGUACCUAGACCUCACUGCAAAGGUAGAAGCUGAUUUCCCCCCCUGUUUAUCUGAAAAUCUCAUAAAUUGAUAGUAAAGGAGAAUUCACAUACUGGGAAGUGUGGCUGCAAUUGCUGUUGUUCCCAAGCUGCUAUCUGUGAAGGCAACCAAGCAGUCUUCCAACACGUACUGCAGAUGUUCCCUUCCCUUGUGACAUGAGACUGAUUCUGCAGACCACAAGUGAGGUCUAAAGCAGCAGGAGCAACAAUGACCAGUGAAAAGCUCACUAUUCCUGCAUGGUUGACACCUUGGUCCUCUCAGUCCCAUUUUAUUAGCUGUGUUGUAGGGAUGAGCUAUUCUAAAAAUCUCAAUGACAGUCCAAUCUGUACUAAUUUUUUUCUAACUCCUAUCUCACUUCAUCUUGGCUUAGCUCAGGUUCCCCAC